UUCCGUUUGGGUAACCUGCGGAGGGAUCAUUACACAAAUAUGAAGGCGGGCUGGAACCUCUCGGGGUUACAGCCUUGCUGAAUUAUUCACCCUUGUCUUUUGCGUACUUCUUGUUUCCUUGGUGGGUUCGCCCACCACUAGGACAAACAUAAACCUUUUGUAAUUGCAAUCAGCGUCAGUAACAAAUUAAUAAUUACAACUUUCAACAACGGAUCUCUUGGUUCUGGCAUCGAUGAAGAACGCAGCGAAAUGCGAUAAGUAGUGUGAAUUGCAGAAUUCAGUGAAUCAUCGAAUCUUUGAACGCACAUUGCGCCCUUUGGUAUUCCAAAGGGCAUGCCUGUUCGAGCGUCAUUUGUACCCUCAAGCUUUGCUUGGUGUUGGGCGUCUUGUCUCUAGCUUUGCUGGAGACUCGCCUUAAAGUAAUUGGCAGCCGGCCUACUGGUUUCGGAGCGCAGCACAAGUCGCACUCUCUAUCAGCAAAGGUCUAGCAUCCAUUAAGCCUUUUUUUCAACUUUGACCUCGGAUCAGUAGGAUGCCAGUGUUCUC
rnacentral:rRNA from 1 species